rnacentral:rRNA from 1 species
GCCUGCACGAAGUCGGAAUUGCUAGUAAUCGUAGGUCAGCAUACUACGGUGAAUACGUUCCCGGGCCUUGUACACACCGCCCGUCAAACCAUGAGAGUUGGCAACACCCGAAGUCGGUAGUCUAACCGCAAGGAGGACGCCGCCGAAGGUGGGGUUGAUGAUUAGGGUUAAGUCGUAACAAGGUAAC